rnacentral:lncRNA from 1 species
UAAAUAAAUCUAUGAGUGUAUAAAUGGUAGAGUUGUCAUGAAUCAUUAUUCCAUACCAGAAAAAUUUGAGACAGCAAAAAACUUCCACUGGAAGUGAACAUAUUUCUUAAGUGACAACUAAUACAAGGGUAAUAUUCUUGAUUUAAUGUUUUGUUUGAUAAGUUGAUUACAGAUUCAGUAUUAGAAUUGGUUGGCUCUUUUUAACAUUAUACCUUUUUUUUUCUUUUUAAUGACAAGGGAAACCCGCAACCGCUACCUUUUGGGUGCGCACAAGGUAAAACCCCUGCUCCAAUGCAAUAGCUCGCAAAUCACAUAGGAGAGGUAACUGCACUAGGCAAGCCUUGUGCCCCUUGCUUUCGCUGGCAAGGGGUUUCGAACUUGAGACCUCCAACAUAAACUACUGAGCCACCCCGAAGGAUACCAUUAUACCUUUUUUUUUAACCUAAAAAAAAAGGUAUAACCAUUACCUUUUUUUUAACCUAAAAAAAAAGGUAUAACCAUUAUACCUUUUUUUUAACCUUAAAAAAAAAGGUAUAACCAUUAUCCUUUUUUUUUUAUGACUGUGGUGUCCAUUAUUAUAUUUUGAUCUUUUUCAGUCUUUUUUGUGGAUAAUGAUGAUGUCCGAACCAGCUUAAGCACAUCUCAACUAUUCUACAGGUGCCCACCAGCACAGGUACCAAGUAACUGUGCUGGAAUUUGAACCCUUCUUUCAAAGGUUUGCACCCACUUCAUUUGACGUUGGCCACAUUCUUAGGUGUUGCAGUAUGCUAUAUUUUGUUUCCUCGAAGCCUCCUCAAUUGUUUUUGUGUGUGUUUUUCCCUUACUUGGGUCGUUAAUCAUGUUUGGAUCAUGCUUGACUAAUGAAUAAACUUCUAACACUUCGGCUGUUCGGCAUAUGUAUGUAAUUACAGCCAACCGCCAACCGAAAUAUCAAUAAAUCCAAUUUUUCCUAGUACUUUUCAUUUGGAUACUUUGGGGCAAAACUUGGCUUGGCAUGUCAAUUGCUUCAACCUUUUGUUGAGGUCUCAGUAGUACAAGGGUGUGACCUAGCAGUCAAAUGAAGUGGGAAGAAAACCAUGAGGAGGUUCAAAUCAGAGACAAAAGCAUCACCAGAUGAUUUCUGCCUAAUCUUUGGCAAGAAAAUUUAUCCAAUAUUGAUAGGAGUCUGCAGGUAUCCGGUGGAAUAGUUGAGGUGUGUACAAGCUCGCUCGGACAAUCUUCAUCCCAAAAAAGAACCAAUAAAUCUUAGUACCAAAAAGUUAUACUACAGAAAUAUAUGCAAAACAUAUCCUAAAAUUACUUCAUGCAAGUUGUGGAAGCUAAGACACUAGAGCUCUCACAUGUCCCAUUCGUCAUUCCAACCUUCUUUUUUGAUGUCAAAGACCAACUCUCUUUCUUAGUUCUAUCAAAUAUUCUUAGCUUCACCUCUUGGUCCAUGGAAGAUUACGACUCCAAAGGUCACUCGCCGUCUCAUGUUGGGUGUCCAUAAACUUGCAGAGGCCAAAGUUAGAAGUGUUGCAGCCUUUGGUGGUGGUUUUUCCUUAUUGCUGCAUCUCUAGAACCUGCUUUGUUUCAAGCUGUCUACUAGUGUUAAAAUUUACUUUAGCAUCUACUGAUCUAUUCCUGUGGACAUAGUUGCAGACAGAAUGCUUCAUGUUGAACAAAGAACUAAGUUUGUCUACUCGGUAAACUAAACGAGAUCAGUCCCAGCCAGUUACCAAAUCAUUGUCCAUCGGUCCAUCCUUUCCACUCCUAGUUGUUCUUCCAUUUUAUAGCUAACUAUACUAUCUUUAUAAGCAGUUCACACAGCCAAUAAUGUUGGGUAUAACUUUUUAAUGCACAUGUACGCCUUAAUAUUUUUUUCACUGGACAUCAAAAGAAUAAUUGAUACCGACCUCAAAGAACACAAAUGACACCAACCUCAAUGAACGUACGCCAUCAGAGAUGCAUACAGUGAAUCUAGAAAAGUCAUGCACAUCAUAGUUCAUUUGAAUCGAACGACAUUGUUCUUGUCAUUACACUUUUCAGUUAAAAGCCAUGAAGAUACAAGCUUGCGCAGAGGAAAAGGAACAAGAGUGAUUCGUAAUUAAGUAAUGAAAAGAGGUGAAAUAAAAUUUAAUGUCAAAAUCAGAUUGUCAUUAAAACAGAUCUCAUCCUACCUUAACAACACGUAGAUCAAUUGGAUUUCGACACGAGAACCGCUGUGUUUUUAAUUCCUCGGUAACUUAACAACUUAUCUCAUAUUACCUUCCUAAUUAGAUAAAAGUUCCAACAUUAGUUGGACUGUUGGGUAGUAGGGAAUCUGAAGAUAAGAGUAAAUUGUGUGUUUAUAGGUUACUGUUUCCAAUGCUUGAACUUUGAUAAUGGUGAGUCUAUCAAAUUUGAGGAAGAUGGAAAACAAGGGCAGUGGUAUGUGGAUGCGUUAAUGAGUUCAAAUUCUGAUAUUACAGCUGCCUACUCUUUGAAAUUUGGGGUUCUGAUAGUAAACAGAAAUGAUAUAGCAGUAGUUGUGGUCUUGGUGUGAUUACUGUGAUAAGAAGGAAUGAAGAGAAAGAAAACAAACCUUAAAAAAAAUAUCUUAAAGGUUAAGUUGAAUUAAAUAUAUAAUCUCCAAUUGGAAACUGACAGAUGAACUAUUUAAUUCAAUUUUAGCAAUCAUAGCUUCAUUCAUUCAAUCCUUACACGCUUACAAGAUGUUUAUUCAACUUCUUGGAUUGGUCUGCAUUUAAGGGUUACAAAAUUCCAAAAAUAAAAGGUUCAAGGGGGUAAUAGAACCCGAUAUACAACAAGUGUAUAGUUUAGUAAAACGACAAAUUAUGGGAGGGCCUUUUACCAUUUUCUCAACAAAAAUACUACCUAGUCUCCACUGCAACUUGUAUCAAACUUUUCUCUAUGAACACCAAAUAAAAUAAGCUGUCAAGUCCUGUUUCUAUGAAAAUUUUGGCAAGGGAUAGUGUAGUAUACAAUCAUACCCAUGCUAAAAUUGCAUGUUACAGUAUCAAAUAACCACAAGGUUUUUGCAGUAAUUGCUCUACAUUGGACGAGGACAAGAUGGAAUUUCAGCACUAAUUUAAUAACACCAAUAUUAGCACGAGCAAAAUAUGUUGCUUAAAACUAAAGUUACCUAUUUCAAAAAUAAAAUAAAAUACAUUGCUUAAAAUUCGAAGCAUGAAAACAAAACAAAUACACAGGUUUAGUGUUCUCUUUCUUUUCAAAUCAAUUCCUCCUUUUCCUCUUGCAAUUAGUUGGUUUUGCUUGAGGAUCCUAUAUAAGAUGUACUAACAUGUAAGCAAUAAAAAUGCUAAGCAGCUACUCAGAUUAUAUGAUUACGUUUCAUUUUGAUCGAACUUCACAAGCCAGAUUAAUUGCAGCAUAGCAUCACAAAACAUCAAAUCUAACACGUGACACAGCAAUAGACAAUUUCAAACAUCGCCAGCUAAAUUCAUUCAGUCAGAAAAUGAAAACGAAUAGAUAAUAUGGAUAGACGAAUAAAACAAACAAACAAAAAAGGAUAGAAAUGAGAAGUUACAUGGAAGAACUCGAGCUGGUCCUCAAGGUGUUCAAGUGCGGUCCGGAUAGCAUUGAGACUCUUAGCCUCAUGAACAGCGGAUUCAUCCUCAUCAACAGGAAACUCCUUAACGAAAACGUAACCAUGCUUUACCUGAUUUCCAUUGUUAUCAUUUCUCUUGUUAGAACGGUGACCGUAAAAGUCAUCGGACUUAGAGCGAGAUUUGACGGAAUUGAGGAAUUGAGCUCGAGAAACAGAGUGAAUAGCAUCGCUAAGUUUAUCAUGUAAAUCCCAUAUUUUCUCGAGAACAGCUUCGAUUUCAUACACCUCCAUUUCCCAUUUCAUGGAGGAAACCACAGUCUGGAGGGAAAAGUAUAUUGAAAGAGAGAGAAAGAGAGUAUUCUAGCUAGGGUUUCUACAUUUGUGUAUAUAUAUAUUUUCCCUCUUCUUCUUUAUUUGGAUUUAUUUAGCGCUUCUUUCGCACUACUACCAACGCAUAUUUUACAGCGUGGAAACGUGAGGCUCACUAGUCAGGUGUAUUUUCAUCAUCAUUAUUUCUGUUCAGUUCUGGGUGGUGGUCCCCACAAGGAACAGUUUAAUUUUAAAAAUUUUUUUAUUUACGUCACAUUUUAAGACGGGUCUAUUCAAAUAUGUUACUUAUAAUUCAAAAAAGUACAUUUACAAUUCGAUCUAAGACGUGCAAAUUUGAAUACGAUACUAUGUUAGGAUCAGAUGUACAAGUAUGAAUUCAGAUAUCAUGAUAACAUUUAAUAAUUAAUUAAUUAAAAUUAUUUAUCUUUUGGGCAUUUAAAUAUAUAAAAAUUGUUUUUAUUUAAAAAUAAUAAAUUUUAAUAAAAUGUUAAGAUACUAUAAUGUAUUAUAUAUCAAUUUCUCUGAUGAAAUUACAAUUGAUAUGUCGUAUUUAUAUCAACAAAAAAAAAUUAGAGAGUUAUUUAGGGAAUGUUUUAUAUAUAGACUAGUUGUGAUGAUGGUGGUUGUGAAUAUUGUUUAAGGAUGAUAUUGUGGUGUAGAUAGUAGUUACUAGUAAUGGCGAUUGGUGAUUAUUUAUAAUAACGAUGAAUAAUGUGGAUGAUAUAUAAUGCGGUAAUUGAUAGUGAGGGUUUAUAAUGGGUGAUAAUAAUUGUAAAUCAAAUAAAUUGGUGGUUAGUGAUAAUAAUAAUAAAUUAAUGAUAAUGAUGAUUAUAUUAUAGUUAGUGAUGAUGGGUGAUAGUAUAUAGUUGAUAACAAUGAACCACAAUAAUGGUACUUGCUAUUGGUGAACAAUGAAGAUAGUUGUGAUUAGAUAAAUUUCCUUUUUUAUAAAGAUAAAGUUUUUCAAUAGCCAUCUUACAUAGUUUAAUCAUCUAAAACACGAAUUCAUUAAAAGAAAGAUGUAAUUAGUAGUAGUUAAGAUUCAGACAUCAAUGAGACUUGAGAUAAAAUUAGGUAUAUUUUAAAUUGUAGGUGGAAGUUCACUUAAGGCUUUUCUAGGUAUAAUAUUUACUCGAGUUUUCUUUUCAGAAAUACUAUAAUAAUCAAUAAAGUCACAUAAUGCAUUAAUUAAGUGUGUUAUAUAAGUCCUUAAAUAUCGCUUCAAUACUUGAAGACUUUUUAUAAAUAUAUAUAACUAACAAAAUAUUAGGCUCGAUUCUUUUUUUUUCUAGGGAUAAGAUCUAAUUUCUAAAUAUGUUAUUUUAUAGAGUUAAAGUUUAGUUACUCGAUAGUUUAUUCGUCCAAUCUAUUUUAUAUUGAUUAUUUAACAAAAAUAAAUAUUUUUUAUUUGUUUUAAACAAUAUAACCAUGAAAUUGUCAAACAUCUCAAGUUAAUAUAUGUAAUUUUAUUUUGAAUAUGUAAAGAUAUUUACUUUUAAUAUCUAGGAUAUCUGCAAUUUGUAUAAAAAUGAAAAAGGAAUUAUAUUUAUCUUUAAUAAAUAUUUAUUUAAAUAUUGAUCCUAUUUUUUAGAAGUUGCCUUUUUUCAUGUCCAAUUUGUUAGCGUGAUAAGUCUUGAAAUUAGAGAACUUAAAUCUUAAUUUUUUAGAAGGUAUAUUUUUCAAAUCUAUUUUGUUUGUAGUUUAGGUCUUGAACAUAAUUUAUUAGAAGGUACAUUUUUUAAAUCUAUUUUGUUAGUAGUUUAGGUCUUGAGCCUAAUUUAUUAGAAGGUACAUGUUUCAAAUCUAUAUUUUUAUAGUAUUAUAGGUUUGUUUGUAGUUUAGGUCUUGAACAUAAUUUAUUAUAUAUUCCAAGUCUUUUCUAUUAGUAUUUAGUAGUUUAGAUCUUGAAAUUACAAAAUUUAAAUUUUACUAUUUUAGAAGGGACUUUCCAAAUCUAUUUUAUUAGUUAUUAUAUAUAAGUAGAUCUUAAAAUUACAAGACAUAAAAUUACCUAAUCUUUUUAAAAGGGCAUUUCAAGCCAAUUCUGUUAAUAUGGUAUUGGUUUAAAGUUUAUGGUUAUGCUUUAGGCACAGUUUGUUAAGUUUGAAAUUUAUUGUUAGUUAAUGAUUAACAACCCUUAACUAAUACUACUAACAAUUAAUUUUUCAUCCUAAAACCUAUUAUAACAAUCUUUUUAGCUACUUAAUUUUUUAAACUAAGUUAACAUUACGAAAAAAAACUAUUUUAACACAUUAACAUUAUGAAAUUAGCUAAACAACAAUUUCAUAAUUAGAUAAAUAAUAAACUAAUAACAAACAAUUAUCAUUUAUUAAUGAACACCAAGUAUCUAAGUGAUUUUAAGGAUUUUUAUAGCACACUAAAUUAGUGUGUUCUGUGAUUUCAUCAAUCAAUUAAGGUGUGGUUCGAUCAUAAAAAUUAUUUAGCAUACUAAUUCAAUGCGUUAUAGAUAAAAAAAAAUUGAAAAAUUUCAGUAUAUCCCCUCCAAAUUAAGAAGAAUGUGCUGAUUAACAUCUUGUGCAACCUUAAUUUUUUUGUAAGUUCACCUCGAUUCCUUCUUAAUUUUUCAGUACACAAAACCAACAAUAUAGCUUCUCGAAUCUUUGAGAAAACUACUGGUGAUUUCAAAUAAUCAAUAUGCAUAAUGGACAUGCUUUAUGUCCGCAAUCUAUUCUAAAAAUUUGUCAAUUUGUCUAACUUCUCAAAUUUUAUUUGUAUUACAUAAACUGAAAUAUAAAAAAUAACAUAUAUUGAAUUCGAAUGAACACAAACUUUUAUAUCUAAUGUGUUUAUAUAUAUAUGUUAUGAUCAGCUUAGAUAUACAGAGACGUAAUAAUAAAUUAUAACGUACUGUAGAAUCGAGCAAAAUUCAAAUUGAAUUUGCAUUGAUAUGAUUAUAAAAUGAUGCUUUAUGCUCAUAGCGCCCACCUACAUGCAAUUAUUUUUAUCUUCUACGUGUAUGAUUAAAUUUUUAGAAAGUUAAUUAUGUGUGUUUAUCUUAGAGAGUUGAGAUUUUUAAUUAGGUUAAUGAGGCGAGAAUAAAUAUUUUUCAAUAGUAGCCAAAGUAAUUUAAUUUUCAGAAAGUUCAAAAUAAUAGUUUUUCUUAAAAUAUGUACUAUUUGGGUGCAUUAGAAAGUAUCUCAGAUAUAUUAUAACAUAAAUCAGAAAUAUAAUAUGUAAUUCGGAUACAUUAUAAAAUAAAUCGUAUACAUAAAAUGUAGCUCGAUACAUUAAAUAAUAGUUUGGAUACAUUAAUAUAUAUGUAGCUCGGAUACAUUACAUACAUUAUGAGAGAAAUAAGAGAUUUAGAAAUAUAGAAAAUAAAAGAAAUAUAAGACGUAUAUUUGAGUAAUUUUUUCAAAAAAAAAAAAUUCACCUAGAUGCGUGACUAAUACUUUUUUUAGUACCAGUUAAUUAUAUUUGAUUUUUCUACCAACGAAUCAGAGUGGCGCAGCGGAAGCGUGGUGGGCCCAUAACCCACAGGUCCCAGGAUCGAAACCUGGCUCUGAUAAAUGAGAAGGCUUCCGGCGUUGCAAUUUUUUUUGGAUCCAAAUUUGUAUCCUUUUACGAUGUCGUUUAGUAGUUGCCGAAAAAAAAACAGAUGAGAUAUUACUAUAACGAGAAGAUGGAAACUAAACCCUAGCCUCAGAAACUUCAAAAUUCCACAAAAUCUCGCGAUAAAUCAAACAGAUCUCUCUCUCUCUCUCUUUCUGCAACUUCCGUCUUACCGUUGAUAAUUCGUUUCUCCAUGUAAGUUUUCCCUCUUAUUUCUCUCUCUCUAUUUCUGUUUUCCCUCUCUUUAGAUUUCUGUUUCGCUGUUCAAAAAAUGGUAGAAAUCGACACUGUACACUAUAGCGCUUCCACAUUUCAGCUUGCGAGUUCAUCAUCAAUGGUGACUACAAAUUAUUGUUUCAUCUUUUACCUGGAAAUUGAACUACUACCGGAUGAAGUUUUAAUGGUGAUUGUUCAGAAAUUAAAAUUGAUUCAGUUUACUAAUUUAUGCUGUAAUUUUUAACCGAAAAGCUGUUAUUGCUUAGGUUUGUGUAGUAUCAGUCCACUGCGAAGAGAAUCCCUCCAUAACAUAACUAGUAAGUCACUGAACUUCCUUUUGUUAUUUCGAUUUGAAAAAAACUCUUUAGUUAAUUUGGAGUGAGCUUCGUGAGUUAUUACUCCAGUUCAUUUGGGACUUAUUUUAUGGCUUUCACGGUUCCUGAUUAUUCUUUUUGUUACAAUGUUGUACCUGACUUAUUUUAUCGGUCUGUAUUCUCUUUUGUUUGUCCCGACUUGGGAAGGGAAUGAAGCAUGAUUACAAACUUCAGAUAAGCUCAGUAAUAAAAUUGAUUAGUAUGAUGAAAUCUGCAAAAAGCAUAAUCAUUAACUCUAGAUUGCUGUUUGGAUAAAUAUGUUGCUUGCAUCAAGUUUUUAGCUCUAUUCAUUGAUCUUCUAAUGGUAGUUAAGUCUAAAUAGAACCUGGUUUUAAUUUUAGUAUUUUGAAUGGACAACACUUUAGCUUCCUUCUUUCUUUUUACAAGGAUUCAAAUUGAUUUAUGGAGUUUUAAUUUGCUCGUGCUGUUUUUCCAAUUUAAAUGCUGGCAGUUUUGAUACAAUGACGAUCAUUUAUAGUUGAGGUUUUCAAAAGUAUCUUGGUAUAUGAUUGAAGAAGCCUAUCCGUACACAUCACUUUUAGCUUUGCUAGUUAAUCGAGAUACACUAUUGUUGCAUGAGUUGAAGAUGAUCGGCAUAUUAGGUAGCAUUUGUUUGGGGCUUAUCAUUGAAACCUAAGAUAAUAUAUACCUACCUUAGUCGCAUAUUGACACUUGAUCAUAUCAUUGUAUUAAUUUUAAAUCAUUAAAGAGAUUUCCUGAAUGACUGUUAUGUUUCAUCAUUGUGCACUGUGAUAUAGAAUCUUCUUUAUCCUAAGAGGGGAAAGAAAACAAAAAGAAUAAAGAAAAGCCCAUCUUGGCUGAUUCAGAAAUUUAUUUUUUGAGCAGAUAGUCAGACAAUUUUCUAACAGAUUUUUUACCGACAGUGGUUCGAGAAAAAGAUGUCUGUUGGGAAUAUGCUGAGAAGUUAGACGGGAAUAAAGUGAGGUGUAAAUUCUGUCUUAGAAUUCUUAAUGGUGGCAUUAGUAGGUUAAAACACCACUUAUCCAGACUUCCCAGUAAAGGUGUGAAUCCAUGUACUAAGGUCAGGGAUGAUGUUACUGACAGGGUAAGGGAUAUAAUAGGAUCAAAGGAACCUCCUAGUACUAAAAAACAUAAGCUCAUUGAGACAAAAGCUCUUGCAAAUAUCUCUCCGGAAAAACCGCUUUUAUCGGUGGAGCCAAUAACUCCAAUUGCAAGAAUUUUUCCACCAAUUGGGCAGGCUAUUUCUUCAUCUGGAAAUAACCAAGAAAAUGCUGAGAGGAGUAUUGCAUUGUUCUUUUUUGAGAACAAAAUUGACUUUGGUGUAGCAAGAUCUUCCUCUUACCAUCAAAUGAUUGAGGCAGUAGGGAAGUGUGGCAGUGGGUUUAUAGGUCCUUCUCCUGAAACCCUGAAAGCGACAUGGUUGGAGAGGAUCAAGUCUGAAGUAAGUUUACAGUCAAAAGAUGUUGAGAAAGAGUGGGCUAUGACAGGUUGCACUUUGAUUGCAGAAACAUGGACGGACAACAAAAUGAAAGCGUUGAUCAACUUCUUGGUUUCAUCGCCCUCCAGGACUUUUUUCUACAAAUCAGUAGACGCAUCUUCAUAUUUUAAGAAUCUGAAAUGCCUCUCCGAAUUGUUUGAUUCAAUCAUACAAGAUUUUGGACCAGAGAAUGUUGUACAGGUAAUUGUGGAUAAUACACUUCACUGCACUGGUAUAGUGAACCAUAUUUUGCAGAACUAUGGGAAUGUUUUUGUGUCCCCUUGUGCUUCACAGUGUAUAAAUGCAAUCUUAGACGAGUUUUCAAAAUUAGAUUGGGUAAAUAGAUGCAUUUUACAGGCACAAUCACUCUCAAAAUUUAUAUACAACAAUUCCCCAUUGCUUGAUCUCAUGAAAAAGUUCACUGGAGGACAAGAGAUCAUUAAGACUGGUAUCACAAAGUCUGUAUCAAACUUUCUCUCCUUGCAAUGUCUAUUGAAGCAUAGGUCAAGAUUGAAAGUUAUUUUUAACAGUCCAGAGCUUGCUGCCAAUUCUGCUUAUACAAACAAAUCGCAAAGUGUUAAUUGUAUCACAAUUCUGGAUGACAAUGACUUUUGGAGGACAGCUGAAGAGUGUGUUGCUGUUUCUGAACCCUUUCUCAAAGUUAUGAGAGAAGUUUCUGGAGGAAAGCCAGCUGUGGGCACUAUAUAUGAACUACUGACCAGAGCAAAGGAAUCUAUAAGGACAUACUAUAUUAUGGAUGAAAUAAAGUGCAAGACAUUUUUAGAUAUAGUGGAUAAGAACUGGAAGAACAACCUCCACUCUCCUCUUCAUUCGGCAGCUGCCUUUUUGAAUCCUGGCAUCCAAUAUAACCCAGAAGUCAAGUUUCUUGGGUCAAUAAAAGAAGAUUUUUUCAGAGUGCUGGAGAAGCUGCUACCAACUCCCGAACUGAGGCGAGAUAUCACUACUCAAAUCCUUUUAUAUACACGGGCAUCUGGGAUGUUUGGUUGUAAUCUGGCGAAGGAAGCAAUUGAUACUGUUCCUCCAGGUAUA